rnacentral:rRNA from 1 species
GAUCAUGGCUCAGGAUGAACGCUGGCGGCGUGCCUAAUACAUGCAAGUCGAGCGAAUGGAUUGAGAGCUUGCUCUCAAGAAGUUAGCGGCGGACGGGUGAGUAACACGUGGGUAACCUGCCCAUAAGACUGGGAUAACCCCGGGAAACCGGGGCUAAUACCGGAUAAUAUUUUGAACUGCAUGGUUCGAAAUUGAAAGGCGGCUUCGGCUGUCACUUAUGGAUGGACCCGCGUCGCAUUAGCUAGUUGGUGAGGUAACGGCUCACCAAGGCAACGAUGCGUAGCCGACCUGAGAGGGUGAUCGGCCACACUGGGACUGAGACACGGCCCAGACUCCUACGGGAGGCAGCAGUAGGGAAUCUUCCGCAAUGGACGAAAGUCUGACGGAGCAACGCCGCGUGAGUGAUGAAGGCUUUCGGGUCGUAAAACUCUGUUGUUAGGGAAGAACAAGUGCUAGUUGAAUAAGCUGGCACCUUGACGGUACCUAACCAGAAAGCCACGGCUAACUACGUG